GUGGGAGAGGGAAGACAAAGGGCUGACAGGAACAAGCGAGCUGGCUUCCACGAUGGAGGAUGGUCUCCAUGGGGGUGGGGAGGGAGCAGGAGUAGCUUCCUCUAAUUCCACAGCAUCUCUGGGGGCUCCAGCCAAGGGGGUGCUGAGCCCCUGCACAGGCUGGUUUGCAGGAUGAGCCCUCUGGUGCAUACAUGCACACGUGUGUGUAGGCACGUGUGUAAGUGCACACGGGCAUGUAUGCUUGCAUGCAGCACACACAUCAGUGUGCCUGUAUUUUCAGUGUGCGCAGGCGUGUGUCGGUGCCUGUGGGCAUACUGUGAGUAUACAUGGGCAUAGCUGUAAGUGCGUGCACGCGUAUGAGUGUGCCUGGACACAGCUGUCAGCAUCUGAAUACACACGUGUGAGUGCACAUAGUCGUGUGUGACAGAACAUGGCCGUGUGUAACAAAACACAGCUGUGUAUGCACAUCUGCCUGCGUGAGCGUGUACAGAUACGGGUGUCAGUGCUUGUAAGCACGUGUGUAGCUGCAUGCAGGUGUGUACAAAUGCACAGCCACGCGUGCAUACAUGCACACACCAGUGAAUGUGCAUACAUGCACACACGCGAGAAUGCGCUCAUGCCACGCGUGUCAGUGAGUGUAUGUGAGCAACCGUGCACGUGUGCGCACCCACGCCCAGCGGCCAGAAACCCUCCACGCGUGAGCGCGCCUGGCCAAGGUCACGCGUGUGCGCGCAGCAUCUGUGUCAGCGGCGGCUGGCGGCGAGCCGGGGGGCGCGGGGCCAGGCCUUGGCCGGGGCAGCAGCGGGAGGAGGAGGAGGAGGAGAAGGAGGAGGAGGGAAGUGCGGCUCAGACAGCGCGGCGCCAGCAAACACCUGCAAACAGCUCCGGGCACACAAUGGCAAAUACAGGGUUUUCCAGGAAAGCAUCGGCAUCCCACAACAGCCAAGAUAAAUCUGCUGCAUGGGGUAAAUCUUCUCCCUGAGAGGCGUCUCGAAAGCACUGGCAUCUGACAGCCCAGUCCAGGGAGCCAGUGGGGUCUGAACAAGGCUUGUGCCAGAGUCUGGGAAUGUCGGGGUGGCUGUUCCAGGCAAGGCGCCGGGAUCCAUCCACUACGGGGGAGGAGGUUACGGCCCUGGGAGGCUCCUCGGGAGCUAGAGCCGAACCUAGACCCUGCCGAGCCCUGACAAUCCCCUGCCCUGAUCCCUGAGAGGGGACAGGGGCAGGGGCCACCUCCACUCCCCGGGAGCUGCAGUCCCCCUUAACCUCCCCAGUGUCGUUUCCAUCCAAAAAGCCCCAGCAGCACAGGUUUCUCCCACCCCAUCAGUGCCUAGCCCUACUUCUCCAAGUAACCCCAGCCCCAAAGUAGACUCAUUAAUGCUCCCACGAGUGCAGGAUUUCCACCACCAUAAUCUCUGAUGAGGGACCCAUUAGGAUCUGGGAUGGAAUACUCACACUGCAAGAAGCUCCACCUUCCAGGUACGAGAUUCAUCCCUGUCCCCUGGCUCAUGCCAAGGAUGCUUUUCCCACUUAAAUCCCUUUGGCACAUCGGCACUGGCACAGCUGGAGGACCAUGACACUGGGGUGAAUGUGGGGACAUUCACCCCUAACCCACCCUUUGCCUUUUCCUCCAGAGCCAAAAGCCAGUGGACAUGGCAAAAGCUUAUUUUUAGCUGUGAGCAUAACAGCAGCUCUGUUCCCAGAUGCAGUGGUUUCUGGAUGGACACCUUCACUUGCCUCUCUCCAUGCCCAGGCAGCCCAUGUCAUGGCAUCCUACCUCCCAGAGGUGCCAGAGGAUACUCUGACCUGGCCUGGGGAGCCUGGGGACAUCAAGCUGGGAGGAGGGAGGAAAGUUCCCAGGGGCUGGUGAUCCAGUUGGACCAGGUGGUGCUUUUUGGAAGCUCCAUGUGCUGCUUUUCUCUAUGGUAAUGCCCGUGGAGCGUUUGGCAGGUGCCAGCUGCACCUCAAGCUCCUGUUCUCUGUCAUUGGGAUAGAGGCUGAAGCCAGUGUGUGUGGGUGAAGCUUUGCAUCACUCUGUGCUCCGAAACCCUCGUGUCUUCUCUGUCCUCUGCUUCCCAUGAUGCAGCCCUUAGCCCAGCACCCCUGGAUGCUGGAGCACCCUGGGGACACCCCAAUGCCAUGGGGCAGGAUCCACAUCAUGCCUGGCUAAGCCCACGGCAGCAAAACCAGAGCCCAGCACAGGGAAUAAAGAUGAUGGUGCUACAGGUGGGGGUGA